rnacentral:misc_RNA from 1 species
AAGUCGUAACAAGGUUUCCGUAGGUGAACCUGCGGAAGGAUCAUUACAACGUAUCCACGUACCAAACUCUCGAACUGUUCCCAACGGUGAAACACUUGUGGAUGAAGUUAAUGACUGGCUGUCUUUCGCUGAUGGAGUUCUCUGACUUUUGUCUGAGGACUGAAAGGCAUUCAGUUGCCAGAGACUCGUCUCUGGGACUUCGUUUGCUCCGUUGCGGUUUUACCGUCAGCGCUGUUUUACCAUUAUUAACCCUUUGAAUUUCUGAACUGAACUUGAAAGCCUCGCAGCAGUCCUCGCUGGCUUCGGUCACGGACUUCGCUUGGUUUUUCACAUUUUACGAAACAAAGAACAACUCUUAGCAACGGAUAUCUUGGUUCUC